rnacentral:lncRNA from 1 species
ACAAAUACUGUAUUUCUUUGCAGCACUGGGCUACUGCUAUUUUUCAAGCUAUCUGAAUACUGACAAUUUUUAAAGGUUCAGAACUGGGCGUGUUUUCUUUAUAAUUCUGCAAUCUUUCAAAAUACUCUCAUGUUUGUUCUUUUAGGCUGCUUGUCCAAAACUAUGCUCCACAAAUAUUUUUAAACCCUUCUGCAGAUUUUCUAAAAGCCGAUAUUGUCUCUCUUAAGUUCUGAAUGUCUUCUUUCG